GACGAACGCUGGCGGCGUGCCUAAUACAUGCAAGUAGAACGCUGAAGGAGGAGCUUGCUCUUCUGGAUGAGUUGCGAACGGGUGAGUAACGCGUAGGCAACCUGCCUGGUAGCGGGGGAUAACUAUUGGAAACGAUAGCUAAUACCGCAUAACAGUAGAUGUUGCAUGACAUUUACUUAAAAGGUGCAAUUGCAUCACUACCAGAUGGCCCUGCGUUGUAUUAGCUAGUUGGUGGGGUAACGGCUCACCAAGGCGACGAUACAUAGCCGACCUGAGAAGGUGAUCGGCCACACUGGGACUGAGACACGGCCCAGACUCCUACGGGAGGCAGCAGUAGGGAAUCUUCGGCAAUGGACGGAAGUCUGACCGAGCAACGCCGCGUGAGUGAAGAAGGUUUUCGGAUCGUAAAGCUCUGUUGUAAGAGAAGAACGAGUGUGAGAGUGGAAAGUUCACACUGUGACGGUAUCUUACCAGAAAGGGACGGCUAACUACGUG
rnacentral:rRNA from 1 species